rnacentral:rRNA from 1 species
GACGAACGCUGGCGGCGUGCCUAAUACAUGCAAGUCGAACGGAGUGGCGGACGGGUGAGUAAUGCCUAGGAAUCUGACUGGUAGUGGGGGAUAACGUCCGGAAACGGGCGCUAAUACCGCAUACUAUCAGAUGAGCCUAGGUUGGAUUAGCUAGUUGGUGGGGUAAAGGCCUACCAAGGCGACGAUCUGUAACUGGUCUGAGAGGAUGAUCAUGCACACUGGAAUUGAGACACGUCCCAGACUCCUUCGGGAGGCAGCAGUGGGGAAUAUUGGACAAUGGGCGAAAGCCUGAUCCAGCCAUGCCGCGUGUGUGAAGAAGGUCUUCGGAUUGUAAAGCACUUUAAGUUGGGAGGCGUUACCAACAGAAUAAGCACCGGCUAACUUCGUGCCAGCAGCCGCGGUAAUAC